rnacentral:rRNA from 1 species
UACGGAGGAUGCGAGCGUUAUCCGGAUUUAUUGGGUUUAAAGGGUGCGUAGGCGGCCUGCCAAGUCAGCGGUAAAAUUGCGGGGCUCAACCCCGUACAGCCGUUGAAACUGCCGGGCUCGAGUGGGCGAGAAGUAUGCGGAAUGCGUGGUGUAGUGGUGAAAUGCGUAGAGAUUAGGAAGAACACCAGUGGCGAAGGCGAUUCUCUGGACUGUAACUGACGCUGAGGCUCGAAAGCGUGGGGAGCAAACAGG